UCAGACGAUGCGUCAUGCAUAUCAAUAAGCGGAGGAAAAGAAACUAACAAGGAUUCCCUCAGUAACGGCGAGUGAAGCGGGAAGAGCUCAAAUUUGAAAUCUUGAAAGGUCACCUUUCACGAAUUGUAGUUUAAAGAAGUGUUUUCUGUUACGAUCGUAAUAUAAGUUCUUUGGAAUAGGACAUCACAGAGGGUGAGAAUCCCGUCUAUGAUUGCGAUUUGUAGCUUUGUGAUACACUUUCAAAGAGUCGGGUUGUUUGGGAAUGCAGCCCAAAACGGGAGGUAAAUUUCUUCUAAGGCUAAAUAUUGGCGAGAGACCGAUAGCGAACAAGUACCGUGAGGGAAAGAUGAAAAGAACUUUGAAAAGAGAGUUAAAUAGUACGUGAAAUUGUCAAAAGGGAAGCGUUUAACACCAGUGUUGUUUUCUGAAAAUCAACCUCUGUUAGCUUUAUGCAUGUUUGCUUAGACCUAAUCAGCUAUCUUGCAUGUUCUAUUGUUUGCAGUGGUGCACUUUUCAGUUUACAGGUCAACAUCAGUUUUUUUUACCGUAAAAAAGUUAAAGAAAGGUAGCUCAUGGCUCCGGUCGUGAGUGUUAUAGUCUUUUUCCUAUGCGGUAGGAGAGACUGAGGUCUGCAGUGUAGGCUAUUUGGCUAGAUACUCAGGUGCUAUGUGAUACCAUUUCAUAAACAACUUGUUGAUUAUGUUUUGUCUAUUGCAUACUCGCUUGUACUAUCAUACCUACGCUUAGGAUGUUGAAGACUCUACAGAGAUA
rnacentral:rRNA from 1 species